rnacentral:rRNA from 1 species
AACGAACGCCGGCGGCAUGCCUAACACAUGCAAGUCGAACGAGACCUUCGGGUCUAGUGGCGCACGGGUGCGUAACGCGUGGGAAUCUGCCCUUGGGUUCGGAAUAGCAGCGAGAAAUUGCUGCUAAUACCGGAUGAUGACGUAAGUCCAAAGAUUUAUCGCCCAAGGAUGAGCCCGCGUAGGAUUAGCUAGUUGGUGAGGUAAGGGCUCACCAAGGCGACGAUCCUUAGCUGGUCUGAGAGGAUGAUCAGCCACACUGGGACUGAGACACGGCCCAGACUCCUACGGGAGGCAGCAGUGGGGAAUAUUGGACAAUGGGCGAAAGCCUGAUCCAGCAAUGCCGCGUGAGUGAUGAAGGCCUUAGGGUUGUAAAGCUCUUUUACCCGGGAUGAUAAUGACAGUACCGGGAGAAUAAGCUCCGGCUAACUCCGUGCCAGCAGCCGCGGUAAU